CCUGUGUUGCUCCCGCCCUGCUCAUUAGUCCCUGUGUGUGUAUAUACCUGGUGUUUCUGUCUUGUCUUUGUCAGGUCAUUGUUCAGGUACCUCAAGGAGCUGUCAGUUCUCCAGUCUUGUUCACUCUAUAUACCAAUGAGUGUAGAAGUAGUCAGUCCAACAAACAUGUCAUAAAAUUCUCUGACGAAACAAUUAUUUUAAGUUUUUGCGCGUUGGUGACUGCCCUUCAUCUUAUUACAGGGAGACUGUCUCAUUUAAAGCUUGGUGUGUGAGGAAUUCUCUCAUUCUUAAUAAUUUGAAAACUAAAGCGAUGAUAUUUGAUCCCAGGGAAAUGAGAGCCCACGACAACUUCAUACAAGUACUUGGGUAAUUAGAUAACCGAUUAAAAGGAAAUGUAUAUGUCAACUCUUUGUGUGCCAAACUGGCCCAAAGACUGCAUUUUCUCCGCAGAUUGAGACUGUUUGGGUGAUUCGUAACAGUUCUGGAGGGCGCAGACGAAUGAUGUCAUCCUGCUGACAGGGGAGUCAGAUCAGAAAACACUUCCAUGUGUUUCUGUCGUUUAACUUGUGGGCUCUUCCCAAACUGAUCAGAGCAGCCACAACAGCAGUAACUCCAACUGCUACCACCACAAUACCAAGGCUCACACUUGGACCCAUUACAGUUUUUCUGUCAUCAGGCUGGACACCGAGGACUACAUCUGCCCUGGCUGCCCUCAGGCAAGCACACACGCUACACACACGCGUGCGCACACACACACACAGGGCAGAGGGCAGUGCGGAGGUGCACGUACUGUAUAAUCUUCAGGAAGUGAUUAGGGGGUGUGAGAUCAAAGGUUUUGUGCAACAGGAAAACAUUCCUCCCUCCGUUCGCCUUCGGGGAUAGAAGGACGGACAGCUUCCUCGUGUUUAAAUCUGACUGCCUCGAAACAACUGACACUCAAACUUCUUUUAUGGUAACAAAAGCCCUGAUCCAAAACUGUUACGGUACGAACUCAUUUAAAUCCAUAUGUCUGAUAAUAGGCCUACAUGCUUUUCAUAGAGGAAGAUUUUUAGUUAAUGCUUUUUAAACAAACAUUUUCAGGAAGGAUUCUUUGAAGCGUGAGGAAAACAUAAUUUAAUAAUAAAUACCCUUAUAAUGCUCUAUAAUGCCCUAUAAAACACACAUUAAAAUUAUAAAACUUUAGGAAAAUCUAUUAAUAAAUACACAUAAAACACAACUGUGAGAUGUGAGACUUGUCAGAUUUUACAUAAAAAACAGAUGAUCAUCUUGUGUAUUAUGAUGCAUUGUUAUAGAUGAAACUACCCAACAGUGUGUUAAGUAAUAUAAUUUAAUAAAAUACAGCUUAAAUGUUAAUGCUUUAACAAAUAUAAUCCCACAAUCAGGGUGUGAAACACAGGAGAGCUAUUUGGAGCUCAGCUCCCCUGUAAGAGACAUGAGCUCCCCAGAAAGCCUCAUUGGAGAAAUUUUAAGGAGAGUAAAAUUUUAAGUAUUGUAAUUUUUGGUACCAUUAUUUUUUUCUGUGUAAAUUUAUAUUUUUCUUUAGGUCCCUGUACUAAAUAGUAGACUAAUAGUAAACCACUUGUGAAAGUGCGGGUUUAUUCGCACAUAACAGUUUCUGAUCAUUUGUAUGUAAUAACAGUGCUGUCUAUUCCUGCUGUGGCACAUCCAUGCGUGAAGGCACAUGUUCAUAAUUAUCAUGGGAUGCAACUUAAGUCUGGUCUGUUUAAUAAAGUAAUGCAAACCAUUGCCUGUCCACUGUGCAUUGGGAUUUUAUUGUUUCUCUUGUUUCUUUGUUAUGCCAGGCCAAAUAUUCUCCAUAUGAUUUGAAAUGUAUUAAUAGUAGUUUUACACAAGGGCACAAUGAGUUUGUCAUCAUGGGUCUUGUGUGUGGCAUUAGAUGUCAUGGUGCUUCAUAAAGAGCAGGUGAUCAUAUGGGAUGUUUAGAUGCAGUGUCCCUUUGAGGCAGAUGAACAGUAAGCAGAUAAUUACCACUUACAACCAUGUUUUCUACAUUUGAGAUAUCUCCAUUUUAAGUCAGCCAAACUCCAAACUCAUGCAAGUAUAAUGCCAACACCAAUUGUAGUGGACAGUGGUAAAAAGAUAAAGACAAAAAUAAUUAUUUGUUUAAAUUAGGUUUGUUGAAAGUGGAAAUGUUUCUGAAGGUUCUUGAAACUCCAUAGUGCUUUACACUUGCAGUACUGUAUUUACACUGUGUAACACUUGUGUGUCAGAAAAACAGUUAUUUUGUUGAA